rnacentral:rRNA from 1 species
UAGUUCUAAGUCUGACGGAGCACGCCGCGUGAGUGUGAAGGUUUCGGAUCGUAAAGCUCUGUUGUUAGGGAAGAACAAGUGCGAGAGUAACUGCUCGCACCUUGACGGUACCUAACCAGAAAGCCACGGCUAACUACGUGCCAGCAGCAACGGUAA